rnacentral:rRNA from 1 species
GAGCACGUAGGUGGGUUUGUAAGUCAGAUGUGAAAGCCUUCUGUUCAACGGAAGAAUUGCAUCUGAAACUGCAAACCUUGAGUGUAGGAGGGGAGAAUGGAACUUCUGGUGGAGCGGUGAAAUGCGUAGAUAUCAGAAGGAACACCGGCGGCGGAAGCGAUUCUCUAGCCUAUAACUGACACUGAGUGUGCGAAAGCUAGGGGAGCAAACGGGAUUAGAUACCCCGGUAGUCCUAGCCGUAAACGAUGGGCACUAAGUAGAGGGGUUU